CAGCUGUUGUAUCUGAAUUAGAUCAUUCAGGUGUACCCCUAUGUUAAAAAGAUAAUGGGGCAGUCGCCAUGAAUAUAAUGUACCACAGGCUUUUGACAGACAGUAAAGUGCAUGUUCUACAGCGGGAUUUAGAGCUCAGCAGGCGGCCGGUGCGCCCGACGUCCUCUUCUGUUCACUCCACCCCGCCCAAGAAGCGAGCUACCCGGGAGAAGAUGCGCGUCGCGGGUCCGGACGGAGCAGACUGCAGCUAACGACAGUGUGGAAAAAGUUACCACUCGUUUGCUCGGUUGUACGCCGGUCAGGUGUGACCGUGUGAGGUCGUCCGGAGCGUGGAGCGGUCUUGUCUUCUUCGGACUCCAGGUCGUCUUAACUCCCGGAGUCAUUUGUUUUGUUGUCUUUUU